AACGAACGCUGGCGGCAUGCCUAACACAUGCAAGUCGAACGAGACCUUCGGGUCUAGUGGCGCACGGGUGCGUAACGCGUGGGAACCUGCCCUUAGGUUCGGAAUAACUCCCCGAAAGGGGUGCUAAUACCGGAUAAUGUCUUUGGACCAAAGAUUUAUCGCCUUUGGAUGGGCCCGCGUUGGAUUAGCUAGUUGGUAGGGUAAAAGCCUACCAAGGCGACGAUCCAUAGCUGGUCUGAGGGGAUGAUCAGCCACACUGGGACUGAGACACGGCCCAGACUCCUACGGGAGGCAGCAGUGGGGAAUAUUGGACAAUGGGCGAAAGCCUGAUCCAGCAAUGCCGCGUGAGUGAUGAAGGCCUUAGGGUUGUAAAGCUCUUUUACCCGGGAUGAUAAUGACAGUACCGGGAGAAUAAGCUCCGGCUAACUCCGUG
rnacentral:rRNA from 1 species